CCUACGGGCGGCUGCAGUGGGGAAUAUUGGACAAUGGGGGCAACCCUGAUCCAGCCAUGCCGCGUGUGUGAAGAAGGCCCUCGGGUUGUAAAGCACUUUCAGUGAGGAAGAACGCCUGGUGGUUAAUACCCAUCAGGAAAGACAUCACUCACAGAAGAAGCACCGGCUAACUCCGUGCCAGCAGCCGCGGUAAUACGGAGGGUGCGAGCGUUAAUCGGAAUUACUGGGCGUAAAGCGCGCGUAGGUGGCUUGAUAAGCCGGUUGUGAAAGCCCCGGGCUCAACCUGGGAACGGCAUCCGGAACUGUCAAGCUAGAGUGCAGGAGAGGAAGGUAGAAUUCCCGGUGUAGCGGUUAAAUGCGUAGAGAUCGGGAGGAAUACCAGUGUCGAAGGCGGCCUUCUGGACUGACACUGACACUGAGGUGCGAAAGCGUGGGUAGCAAACAGGAUUAGAUACCCUAGUAGUC
rnacentral:rRNA from 1 species